rnacentral:rRNA from 1 species
GAUGAACGCUAGCGGCGGGCUUAAUACAUGCAAGUCGAGGGGUAGCAAUACACCGGCGCACGGGUGCGUAACGCGUAUGCAACCUACCUUUAUCUGGGGGAUAGCCCGGGGAAACCCGGAUUAAUACCGCAUAACAAAUUGCUUGGCAUCGAGUAAUUUUAAAAGAUUUAUCGGAUAGAGAUGGGCAUGCGUAAGAUUAGAUAGUUGGCGAGGUAACGGCUCACCAAGUCUACGAUCUUUAGGGGCUCUGAGAGGAGAAUCCCCCACACUGGCACUGAGAUACGGGCCAGACUCCUACGGGAGGCAGCAGUAGGGAAUAUUGGGCAAUGGACGCAAGUCUGACCCAGCCACGCCGCGUGCAGGAAGAAGGCCCUCUGGGUUGUAAACUGCUUUUGACCGGGAAGAAAAGAUCCUUUGCGAAGGAAGUUGACGGUACCGGCAGAAUAAGCCACGGCUAACUACGUGCCAGCCGCCGCCGUAAGAC